rnacentral:rRNA from 1 species
AACGAACGCUGGCGGCGCGCUUAACACAUGCAAGUCGAACGAGAAGGCGUAGCAAUACGCUUGUACAGUGGCGAACGGGUGAGUAAUACGUGGGCGACCUACCCUCGAGUGGGGAAUAACCCGCCGAAAGGCGGGCUAAUGCCGCGUACGCUUCCAUCUUUAUGGAGGUGGAAGGAAAGCCGUGCCGUGGGCACGGCGCUCAAGGAUGGGCUCACGUCCUAUCAGCUUGUUGGAGGGUAACGGCCUACCAAGGCUCCGACGGGUAGCUGGUCUGAGAGGACGAUCAGCCACACUGGCACUGCGACACGGGCCAGACUCCUACGGGAGGCAGCAGUGAGGAAUAUUGCGCAAUGGGCGAAAGCCUGACGCAGCGACGCCGCGUGGGGGAUGGAAGGUCUUCGGAUUGUAAACCCCUUUCGGGUAGGGAAGAUGGGACGGGCGAACCGUUCGGACGGUACCGUCCAGAAGCAGCCACGGCUAACUUCGUGCCAGC